GGCCCUGCAGCCUAGGCUACAUUCCCUAGCCUCCUUUGCAGCUAGGCGUGUGGCUAUGUGACUGACUGGGUUCUGGCCGAUGGGAUGUGAGCACAAAGUGAUGUGUACAACUUAAGUCAAGGAAGGGGCCUGGUCUUCUUUGCCUCGCCCCGCCCCCUUCUUCUGAGCAGAUAGAAGGUGGAUGUGAUGGCUGGAGUUCCAGCAGCUCUUUUGGACCAGGAGACAACUCUAGGAGUAGAAGCCAAUAGAGGAAAGAGAAGGGAGAAACCUGGGCUCUGACAUCACGACAUCAUACAGGUCAGAAAUCAAUGUCCAUAUUCUUAAAGCCAUGGUUAUUCGGAGUUUCCUUUUACCUACAGCCAGUACUAUUUCUAAAUGAUGCAUCAUGUUUUUGGCUGGGGGGUGAAGUUCCAGCCAGUUGCAGAGGGGCUGUAGGGGACCUACCAUGUGUGAGAGGCUGGGGCUAGCAUGAAGACGGAACAGAUAAUUAUUAUGCACAACAGUAACUGUGACAUGUAUCACUGUGUGUACAGCACUUAGCCCGGUACCUGGCACAGAGUAAGAGCCCAAUAAAUGUUAGCAACUGUGUUGUCCUUACAGGUGAUUAAACCAUGUAUCCCGGCACGGAAGAUACAAAGCCCGGGGGGAGGAGACAUUUGAAUAUGGCCCUAAAGAUGAAACGAGAAAGAGCAGGGGCACCCGGGUGGCUCAGUCGGUGGAGCGUCGCACUUCAGCUCCGGUCACCAUCUCGCAGUUCGUGGGUUCGAGGCCCGGGUCAGGCUCUGUGUGGACAGCUCAGCGCCUGGAGCCUGCUUCAGAUUCUGUGUCUCCUCCUCUCUCUGCCC
rnacentral:lncRNA from 1 species